AUAUUACUUCGGGGCUGGGUGCAAUUCCCAACCGGCGGUAUAGCCCGCGAGCCAAAAGGCAUGAUCCGGUGAAAUUCCGGGGCCGACAGUAAAGUCUGGAUGAGAGAAGUGAGAU
rfam:Butyrivibrio fibrisolvens DSM 3071 genome assembly, contig: EJ22DRAFT_scaffold00056.56